GCCUGGGAAGUACGUACGCAAGUAUGAAACUUAAAGGAAUUGGCGGGGGAGCACCACAAGGGGUNANNNCUGCGGUUCAAUUGGAGUCAACGCCAGAAAUCUUACCUGGGGAGACAGCAGAAUGAAGGUCAAGCUGAAGACUUUACCAGACACGCUGAGAGGUGGUGCAUGGCCGUCGCCAGCUCGUGCCGUGAGAUGUCCUGUUAAGUCAGGUAACGAGCGAGACCCCUGCGUCUAGUUGCUACCAUUACUCUCUGGAGCAGUGGAGCGAAUUAGACGGACCGCCACAGUUAAUGUGGAGGANNNNNNNNGCCACGGCAGGUCAGUAUGCCCCGAAACCCUAGGGCUACACGCGGGCUGCAAUGGUAUUGACAAUGUGUUCCGAAUCCGAAAGGAGGAGG
rnacentral:rRNA from 1 species